rnacentral:rRNA from 1 species
UACGGGGGGGCAAGCGUUGUUCGGAAUUACUGGGCGUAAAGGGCUCGUAGGCGGCCAACUAAGUCAGACGUGAAAUCCCUCGGCUUAACCGGGGAACUGCCUCUGAUACUGGAUGGCUUGAGAUUGGGAGAGGGAUGCGGAAUUCCCGGUGUAGCGGUGAAAUGCGUAGAGAUCGGGAGGAAGGCCGGUGGCGAAGGCGGCGCUCUGGAACAUUUCUGACGCUGAGGCUCGAAAGCGUGGGGAGCAAACGGG